UACGAACACUUCAAUAGAGAAGGUAGCUGUUAACAGCCUGAAUAUGUCACCAUAACUCUCGGUUUUAUUCACUGGGAGCUGAAGAAUUGAACAGGUAGGUGGAGGACUAGGUAGACUGGUGUCGCGAGUAUAAUAGAUGCUGAAGUUCUUGCAUCCUUUAUAGUUAAAUUCAAGAUGCUGAGGAAAAUUGACACUGGGGUCAGUACAUUUGAAUAAAGUUAUGUUGGAGAUUGUUUUAUAAGACCAGCUGUAUGGGACACUGGCUGGAAGACUCAAAUUGUUGAAGGAAUCGCAUGAAUUGGAAUUCAAAUGCCUCCGUAAAUCUUUAUCAGUGAUUGAAAUGGUAUUAGCCUGAGAGAUGUUGUGAAGUUCAAACCAUUUUCCUCUCCUUUCUAGUUGGAUACUUUGAGAAUCUUCGUCACAGCCAUCCACCACACAGGGACCGCAUAUCUCAGGACUUGUGUUGUUGGUGAAUGGGAACUUGAUUUCUCCGAGCUUUCCACAAUUGAAAGUCGGACACUUGUUGUUGAAGUCCCAGUCAUCUUCUUUGGAAGCGCAAAUAAGCAAAGGGUGAAAGAGGGCAAAGAAAACUAGCAAAGGGACGGGAGCCAUCCCCGAGCUCCCAAUUUUAAGAAACAAAAUGGAGACACCAACAGGAUCAACUUCUCUUACUAGAACUAUGUCUUGGUGUCUCUUCAAAGUACAUAUAAUUCUUUAUCUGGCAACACACGUUAGUUGACAUGGAAACUUGAGUAGGAAGACUUGUAAUUAAGAUGACAGCAGGUGGGGUAGCCCUGCGAAAUUUACAUGUUAGAAAUCGUCUGUUUGGUCGGUGAUUGCACCAGCCCAGUAAGUUGACCUAUUGACUUUUCAAAGUCUUCUUCCCAAAUACCACGCAAUAUUAACAUAGACUUCUUUGCAGCUUGUUAUAAACGCCUGAACGUGCUAUAACAAAAAAGCGAAGUAUAGGGUUUCGCUAAAUUAGAUAAGAACCAUGUGGUAACAAUGCAAUAAGGCAUCUUUCUCAAAGAAUGGACUCCAUUACACGGUCCCUGAGCUUACUAGAUGCCAAGGAUGGAGUUCUAGGGAAGAUCAGAAAUUGGUGAGAGAAAAAUGACAGAUUAAGCGUCCAAGGAAAGUUCAGACGUGGAGGAGGGAUCAUAGAGGCAGAGGUUAAUUCAUGGGUCAAUAGUCAUCGCUAAAGUUUAUAUAUAUAUAUAUAUAUUAGUGGCCAUGAGUCCAAAGGUGAUAUCUCAAUUACUUCCAUUCCAUGGGCAAUCUCUGUGGAGGGACCCAAAGAAAAACCUUUCUACAAGGGAAUCAAUUUGUUGCAUAGUAAUAACUAGAUAGGGGUAGCGCUAUACCGUGGUCUCACCCAAUUUCUUUUAACGUGAAAAAAGUGCCAAGGCAACGCAAAUGUUUCUAAAAAGCAAAAAAAGCCUUAAGAGUCGCUUUAUUGACGUGUUUGAAUUUAAUAAAUUUAAAUAAUAUAAAUAAAAAAAUACAACAAUAAUAAAUACAUUGACAAAAAAAAUUGGCAACCUAAAAAAUUUAUAAAACUUGGAAAGCAAACUAAUAAAACUAUAAAUCUCAAUUAUUAAAUAACUCAAUGCUGAAGAGUGAAAAAUAAAUAAAUUAACUUGGGUUAACUCUUUAACCUUGCAAUCCUGAGCACAUGAUUGAGAUAACCCUAUAAAAAUAAAAGUUAGAAAAAAAAUAACAAGGACCAAUUCCUAAUGAAUCAAAUGUUCGAGGAAUAAAUUGAAAAAAAAAAAAAAGGACUUAAUAAAAAAAACCAAAGUCCACACAUAUUAAUCUUUGAAACUCCUGAUCCUUGUCAUGAGUUUGACACCAAGCAAAUAGAAGGUAAAAUCUAAAAAAUAACAUGGAAAAAUUAUAAAUCAACAAAAUAUUACAAUAUGAGAUUGAAAAUAAAAUUCAAUUAGGAAUAGAAAAAUAAAUAAAUGAUGAGAACCAAAUUUGAUACUGAAAUUAAAUAAAAUCAAAUAAUGAAAGAUGAAAUUGAAGAAAAAACAUCAAUCAAAACAAGAUAAAAAAAAAAAUAGUAAUUAAAAAAAUGAAAAUUGAAAUGGAUACCAAAAAAAUAAAAAAACACCUUUAUAAUUUAGCGAGAAGAACAGAGACAAAAAAAAAAAACAGAAAAAUAUAUAUUCAAGUCAAAUCAUUGUUUUAUUGUGUAUAUUCGCAACACCAAUAGAAAGAUCAUGGAGAUACACUUUCAUCAUCUCUUUAAAAAGUAGUGUUUGGACAUGGAAUAACAUUGCAUGCAUCUACUCGUUGGCACACCACCAAUCUUUUUUUUUCAAUAAUAUUUAUGUUUGUAUCAAGAUCAAAUAGCUUCCUAAUUAAUUUUUUAAUAGCUAAAACAUAGUUUGAAAUUAUAAAAAAGCUCAUGGAUCCUCAAUCGAUUUGACCAAUGACUUAUAUGUAAAAGAUUAUAUUGCCCAAAUAGCAAGUGCAUUGUGUAUUUUUUAUUAUUAUUGAAGAGCAAAAUAAUAAUUAUACUAUUAUAUUAUAAUGAAUCUAUGUUACUCCAUAAUAUUAAGCACUCCUUCACGCUCGGCUCUUGAUGCGAAGAAGCGAAGGGUGAAAGAGGGCAAAGAAAACCAGCAAAGGGACGGGAGCCAUCCCCGAGCUCCCAAUUUCAAGAAACAAAAAUAGGAAUGGAAACACCGACAAGAGGAUCAAGUUCUCUGACUGAAAUAAGGUCUCAAAGUCUCUUAAUUAUUGUGAUCUGCAAUAUAUCUUGUUGUGUGCUUACUAAGCACGUCAAUUUACUUGGAAAUUUGAUAUGGAAGACUUGUGAAAUGGAUUGAAAGAAGUGAGAGGAAGUUCAUGUGAGAUUUCCAGCUGCCCUGCCUGUUCUAUUGAUCAUCACUUAGAAACAAUCGACUCCUUAAUUCUUUAAAAACAAAAAAGUACAAGAGAUAAAAUGAAAGUUAGAUCAAUCAGGCCCGUGUAUGCAGACCUAUUGGGUGCCCAACCCGGCUUUCUUCUUCUUUCAAUAUUUAUGAUUUUUUGAAUCUCGAUUUUUUUCAAGUAAUUAUUUUUUUUCACAUCCAGUCUAAGCAUUUUUUGUUGUUGUUCAUUCUUGCCUUCUUCCAAUUACUGUUUCUCUUAAUUAUAUUUUAUAAGUGAUAUGCAUGAUUGGUUGCAUGUUUGCUCUUUUCAUUCAUCAAAAUAAAAAAAUAUUUAUAAUAUGUAUUUAAUUUUUUUAAAACAUGAUAUCAAAUACUUCAAAAUAAAUAUUCAAUUAAAAAACUUCCACAAUUUUUUGCCUAGUGAUAACUAGACUGGGGUUGCGCUAUACCACCGAAUAGCUCAAUUGUUUUUUAAUGUUAAAAAAAUGUUAAGAUAAUGUAAGUGUUUUUUAAAAAAUAUAAAAUUAUUUACACUAGAGUAAUUGACUCGUUUGGAAAAGAUUGAUAUAAAUACUAUAAUCCUACUUAAAAUAAAAAAAAUUAAGUUUAUAAUCCAUUAAAUAAAAUAUCCAAUAAUAAUUAAAUUAAGUCUAAUUAAUGAAGUUCAACUAAAAAUUAAAAUAAAUUAAAUCAAAACAUAAGCUAAAACUUAAUUUUUUAAUAGUUUAGGCUACUUUUCGUCUAUGAUCAUACAAAUAUAUAAAUAAUAUCUCAGGUUUGAUGUUCCUACUAUUUUCUUGUUUUGUUUCAUGAAAAAAAAAACACCAUUUUGAUAUCUAAAAUUAUUUAUCGGUUUACAAUUUAAGAAAACAAAAGAUUUAUCAUUGAAUAUUAUAAUAGUAGGCAUCAAUCAUUCAGUACCAUGAGUUUGUAUUAAGUUUCAAAAUAUCACAAUCCCUCCAUGACCGGUUAACAAAAAAAACUAGAUCUUCUAGUGAAGUUAUUAUAUGUAUCUAGACAUAGAUUGUUAAUCAUUGAAACACUAUAAUGAUGUAUUUGCCUUUACACUAUAAAAACUUUAAACUAGUAAUCGGGGGAGAUUUCAGAAUUAAUUUCUCAUUAUCAAAUUAAUGAGGAAUAGAUCUGUCUUUUAUAUUUUUUUUAAAAGUUCGAAAGACUAAAAAGCCAAUAAAAAUGAAAAAUAUUAAAUUAUCUUUCAGGGGUUUAUUUAUAUUUUUAUUUUUUAAGCGCAAUAAAAUAACUGAUAUACCUUUCUGUAUAUAUAUAUAAAACAUUAACUAACACCUAGUUGUUUUUUUGUAUUUUCAUUGUUGUAACCCAUUUUUGGGUCCCUUUGAAAAAUAAAAUAAAUAGCCAAAAGAGGUUAGAAAAAUAACCGGAGGCAGAAGCGCCCGGAAAACAGUAAGAAAAUUGGUCAAGGAAUUUAAAAAUACAAGGAUUGAAUUUUUGACAGUAUAUUCUUGAAGGAUGAAAGCCCGCUAUUGAGAAGAAAAAAUUGAAUUUUAGGGAGAAAAGCCCAAAUUUGGAUUUUUAUGGGCUUAAUUGGAUUUUUAUGGGCUUAAUUGGAUUUUUAUGGACUUAAUUGGAUUUUUAUUUGAAUUUAUAGAAGAUUUGAUUCCAAGAAAAUUGAUUUUUAAGUCAAUUUGGGCUUUAAUUUGGAGAAAUUUAAGUUCUGGGGCCAAAAUAUAUUUUUUAGGAAUUUAUUGGGUCAAAUCAGGGGCUCAAUUGCAUAAAAUUGAAGUUUAAGGGCCAAUUAAGGACUUAAUUGAGAAAAUCCGAAACCAGGGACCAAAUUGGAAGAGGCGCGUAAAUGGAGGGGCUGCUAAUUUUUCGGUUCAGGGGCCUAAUUGAAGAAAUUGAAAGUUUAUUAAUCAAUUGAGGGCUAAAUUGCAUAAAUCAGAUGCCAAGGACCAAAAUGAAAAAGGCGGCCAACAAGAAGGGCGGGGACCGAAUUUGGAGGACUGAUUUGAAGUUUGGCCAUUAAAUGAAACGGCGCGUUUUAUUCAAAACGACGCCGUUUCAUAUACAAAAAAAAAAAAAAAAAAAAAAAAGGAAAGCAGAACGGUGUCGUUUUGAACGACACUGUUCAUCAUCUCCUUCCCCCCCCGUUUGUAGCAGAACAGAAGGUAAAAAAUUUUGAAAAAAAUCUCCCGCGUCUCUCUCUCUCCUCGCCCCCACCACCACCACCGAAAGAACCGACCAGCCAUGCGUGAUUGAAGGCGCACUAACCACGGUCCCCUACCCGUGCUCCCCUAUAAAUAAAGAAGAAAAACCGAAAGGAGAAGAGGAAAAACCGAAAGACCCGAAGAGAGAAAGAGAGAGAGAGUGACCCGAAGAGAGAGAGAAGAACAGAACCAAACCAAGAAGAAGGAAACCGAAACAAAACCAAAACCGAACCGAGAAUAGGCAGCCACUGAGAACGAAAAAAAAAACGAAGGAGAAGGGAGGAAGAAGAAUUUUUCGCCACUGAAACAGCAGCAACGCCGCCCGAAACCGCCAUCCACGAGCCGCGCCACCGUAGCCCCGCCAGCCAACCACCGUCUCCAGCCUCGCCAGGUAUUCCCUCCCCUGCAUUUUUUUUUUCUCUCGUCUUCUGCUAAUUCUCAUCUCCUGCAUGCAGAUUUGUGCUGCAUGCAGGAGACGGGGGAAAAUUAAUUCCCCCCGUUAUAUUUUAUAUAUGGGCCAGAAGGGUUCUGGCCCAACCCAGCGGUCUGGGCCGGGUCCGGCCCAGACCAAGUUGUGUUUUUGGGCCGACUUCGGCCCAGUACCUUUCCUGGGCCGAGGUCGGCCCAGUUACCUUUCCUGGGCCGAGGUCGGCCCAGUCACUGUGGGGCUGAGCCCGGCCCAAUCAGUUGGGCCGGCCCAGCCCCUUAAUAAAUAUAUAAUUAUAUUAUAUAUAUUAUAUUAUAUAUAUAUGUUAUAUAUAUAUAAAAUAUUUGUAAAAAAUCUAAAAAAUCUAAAAAAAAUAUUGUUAUUUUCUUUCAUGUAUAUAUAUUUUUAAGGGGGUUUGUUUUUUUUUAUAUACUGUGAGGUAUAAAUUCAGUAUUUAAAAUAUCUGAUUUUCGUCGUAGCACCCGAAAUUUUCCAAAGAUAAUUUUUUUUUUUGCUUUCAAAAAUUUCUAAAAUUCCUAAAAAAUAUUGUGGAUUUUUCCGCAUAUUUUUUUUUUAUGACUUAAUAUUAGUUUGUAUUUUUUUUUGUGGAGAUACAAAUUCAGUAUUAAAAAUACCUGAUUUCGUCAAAAAAAAAUAUUGUUUAAAAAAAAAAUAUUUUUCUUGCGUGUUGCAUACGGCCAAUACUCUAACAUGUUUUGAAUAUUCUUUUUAUAAAACAAAUAUAUUGGAAGCUUCGAAAGUGUGUUUUCGCAUAGAUUUCUUAAACACAAAUUAUUUUCUUGCAUUUUGGAUUUUACAACGUGUUUGUAAAAUUCCAAAGGGUAUUGGCCAAUAUUCAAAAAACUAUAAAAAUCUUAUUUUGGGAAAAGGAAUUUAUUUAUUAUUUACCGCUAAUGUUUGGAUAAAGAAAUCCUUAAAAGGAUGAAUAUCCAAAAUAUUAUCGGGAAUAAUAAAUCCGCACACAAUUCUUGAAAGAAGCCUUGAUUAUAAUCGAGGACAUUUCAAAAUUAAUUUAAUUUUUUUUCUCCACGAUUUAUGAGUCACAAACUUUUGAAAUACUAAGGGAAAAAUGAGCUUUCAAAGCACAUGGAAUCUCCUUAGAUUUCUAUCCAAAAUCAAUUGACGAGCCUAGAAAAUACCUACACCAUAGCAGUUAUAGAGCAAACCAAACACCAAGCAGCUUACCUUAGGUAGGGCGUACUAGGGGUGCUAAUACCUUCCCUUUACGCAACCAGUCCCUUGCCUUAGAAUCUCUGAAAGACCAGUUAGGGUUCCUAGUGACCAAAAUACUAGGUGGCGACUCCCAAAGAACCAAAUCAACAAAACAGAACAAAACGAAAGUUGCCAGUCGAAUGUCGCAAAACAAAUUUUAAAAUAAACAAAACUUUUUUUUUUAUAUAUUUUUUUUUUUUUGGGGGUGCGACAUUCAUCAUGAUUUUUUUUGUUAUAAUCAUGUUGGCUUAGGGAUAAUUUAGUCAUUUAAACUAUAUAAGUAUUAAUUAAAAAAAAAUGGUUAAGAUGGCAUUCCACGCGUCAGUGUGUGGGUUAUUUUCGUGUUAUUUGGGUAGUGCGUGCAAUGGUGUUUGGUUGCAAAACAAUUGCUUUUGGGUGGUUUUCGAAAUGUCCUGGUGCCCCCUCCAUUCUUGGUCGCCUUGUGUAGCCAACGAGUUUCUAGUUUGGCACCAAUAACCUUUUUUUUUCUUCUUUUUUCUUUCCCACUUAAUUUUCAUUCCUAACCCUUUAAAGUUCCAAAACAGUCUUCAAAUUGUUUUUCAUUUAGAUUUGGUUUAUUUUUUAUCCCUAUUGAUUUAAUUUGAAAUAAUAUAUAGAAUUGCAAUUUUUUUUCUAUUGCAUCCUCCUCUAAGUUUUUAUGAAUUCAGCCUGCAAUUGUUUCCUAUAAGAUAAAAUCCCUUAUUUUGUUUAUUGAUUUUUUUACUGAUAUUUUUUUUAUUUUAUUCUUCAAUAUUAAAUUUGUUAAAAAUUGAUCUUCUUGAUCGAGCCAAGGUCUAAGAUUUUAUAGGUUACAAGUUUAGAAAAUUAGCCAAGGUAUAAGAGAUUCACCCGAGUUUGCUUCUUUUUUUUUUUUUGACCUUUUUUUAAGCUUAUGCUUUUUUAGUUUAUCAUUUGAUAUUUAUUUAAUUGGAGAUUGGGCUCCAUUUAUUUUUUAUUUGCUUUCUAUAUGAAUUUUUACUUGUUUUGAAAAUGACUCGGGUUAUCUCGAGUCUUUUUAUUUGUUGUUUUUUUUUGGUUAAAUUUAGCUUUUUUUAUAGAAAAACAUUUUUAUUAAAUUAAAUUAAUUGAUUAGAUAUAAUUAAGCAUGAUAUGAUCACUUUAUAAUAUUUUAUUUGGUUUGUCCAGGUCGUUGCUUUUACAGCGCGUGCAACUUCUUUUGAUGUCGUCAUCUAGCCUUCUAUAGCGACAUUAGAAUCGUCUUGGUGAACUCUUUUUGAUGGUAAAAUGAUGACCACGAGAGAGAGAGACAAUGAGUCUCUAAUAAUAGGCUUUUCUUUCGUAUACUCAUGAGUAUUAUAUUGGUAGCUCAUUUUUAUACCUAAUUAUUGCCAAAUUUUUUUGCUUUAUUUAUUGUUGAUUUUUUUUAAAUCAUAUUAUUAAAUUAACCGAACUCGGUGAACCUAGUCAGAUCAAUGAUAAUAGUCUCAAAUGUUUCUGAAUAUCUUUUUUUUUGUUAAUUUUUAUUUUAUUUUAUAUAUUGUUGUUGCAUUUAGAUAAUACACGAGAAUUGUAUAUCUUUUAGAAACCCUUAUAUUGUCUUAAUAUAUGUAUUUAUAUUGAAAAAAAAUUAGGUUGACCCGUUAGCAUAGUGUGAGUCAUCUAUCCAGUACAUAAUACAUGGAAUUUCUUAAUUUUGUCCUUGAUUGAAGCAGCAAGCUGCAGGAUUGUUCGUAUCUCAAAAUUCCCAAUAAAAGAAGGGCGACACAGCAAUUCGCAGUUCUAGUUUUAGGAGAAUGAUGGAAAAGAAACAGAGCAUAAAUAGUUCAAAGCAUUUGGAGUUCUGGAGGAGCCAUGGGAUGCACAAAUUGUAUUGAGGAUAUUUUCGAGGUGUAAAUUAAAGAAAAGGUAUGCAGUUUUCUGGUCAUCAAUCUCUCUAUUGCAGUUUGGACAAGGAUUAGAUGUUACAUGUUGAAGCCCGUAUAUACUAAUAAAUGAACACAGUUGAAAUAUUAAUUACUGACAUUAGGUGUAGUAGAACCGCUAAACCACUGAUCAGUUGUGGAAUUCGAUGACAGCGGUGACCGGAUAUUCUUUAGCAAUGCAACCACAUCACAAUCCGGAUAUUUGUUGUCAAGAAGGAUAUUGUUCGUUUUUACAUCCCGGUGAAAGAUAUCAGUAGCAUGCAGAUAAGCCAAUGCGGUAGCCGUUUCUAUGGCAAUCCUCAUUCGAAUAGUCCAAGUUAGUGAACCAGAUUUGGCUCGAUCAUGAUGGAGAUGAUCUGCAACUGUGCCAUUGGGAAUGUAUUCAUAGACAAGGAGGAGCUCGCGGCUGUAGCAAGAAGUACACCCAUAAAGAGUCACAAGAUUUUUGUGGCGCAGGCGAGUAAGGAUUUGAAUUUCAUUCAUGAACUGCUUUAUCCUCUUACGAUUGUGUUCAUAUAGGCGCUUGACUGCAACUUCUCGCCCAUCUCGGAGUUUGCCUGUCGAGAUUGAUAAAUAAAAAUAGAAAAGCCCAUAAAUAAAGUCGCUAGCUUUCUUUCUUCCUUCCUUUGUUUUUCAGUUAAGAAAACCUACCGUAAAUUGUUUUUCAGUUAAGAAAACCUACCGUAAUAUACAGUUCCAAAACCUCCGUCACCAAGUUCGUGUUUGGAAUCGAAGUUGUUUGUGGCUUCUUCAAGAUCAGAAUAGGAGAAGAUGGGGACCCCAAAGUAGUUAGUGUCCCCUUCCGGGUCUGAUUUUGAUGAGGGAUCUGAAGAAGCAUUUGCUGAAUUGACGUUAGAGGAAAUGUGUGUUCUCUUGUGUCGAUGCCACCGGAUGAAAAAUAUGGACACCAAAAUUAAUUAUACCAUGAAAGGGACUCCGAGACCUGCAGUUGAAAAGAAGAGUACUGUACUUUUAACUUGAAUAUAUCCUUUGAGGAAAUUAUUUUACUGGCAGGAGGUUUUCCAUUGAACGUUGUUGCCGAAACAUAUGCAGAAGAGAAAUUGAAAUGUUGAGGAGGUAAAUUACCUAGUCCGAGCUUCAAUCUCAAUUUUUUUCUCUCUGCAACACAAAUAAAAAAGGAAAUAUGGCAUUAGUGCAAAACUUAAAAGUUAAAACAACGAAUUUAUGCAUGCUUUGCCAAAUCGAAUUCUCCAAUAUUUAACAUGCACAAAAAUCAGCGAAAUAAAAAUAAAAAAUCAGAGCAAGGAGGACCUGCUUAUGAGUAAUAGAUGGGAUUUUGUGCCAAGCUAAAUUCUAUUCUCACGACCCAUAAUUGUAAACCAUACCCAGUAAGCUAAAAUCAAUUGCAUAGAAGACAGGAAUUGAGUGGAAUACCAGAUAUAAAGAAUAGUAGGUCUAGUAAAAUGUCCUAAGGUCCUCAGGACUAUACUGGGUCGUAGUAUACAAAUACAAAUAAACUUACAUGUAUUUAUCUCUCCCUAUUUUUGCUGUGUCCAUGCAUAUCAUACCUUCACUUGAAUGGAUGCAUUUGAAGUUUCCUUUGUUGCGUUUACAUUCCCCUCUUUGCAAAUAACAUUGAUAACAGUGACGCGAUACGAACAAUUCAAUUGAGAAGGUAGCUGUUAACAGCCUGAAUAUGUCACCAUGACUCUCGGUAUUUUUCACUGGGAGCUGAAGAAUUGAACAGGUAGGUGGGGGACGAGGUAGACUGGUGUUGCGAGUAUAAUAGAUGCUGAAGUUCUUGCAUCUUGUAAAGUUAAAUUCAAGAUGCUGAGGAAAAUUGACACUGGGGUCAGUACAUUUGAAUAAAGUUAGGUUGGAGAAUUCUAUAAUAGACAAGUAUGGGACACUGGCUGGAAGACUCAAAUUGUUGAAGGAAUCGCAUGAAUUGGAA
rnacentral:lncRNA from 1 species